GACGUAGGUGGCGAACGUUAUCCGGAAUCAUUGGGCGUAAAGGAUGCGUAGAUGGCAUGAUAAGUUAUUAGUGGGAAAUCGAGGCUCAACCUCGUGGAAGCUAGUAAUACUGUUUUGCUUGAGUACAGAAGAGGUUAACGGAACUCCAUGUGGAGCGGUAAAAUGCAUAGAUAUAUGGAAGAACACCAAUAACGGCGAAGGCAGUUAACUAUUCUGUUACUGACAUUGAGGCACGAAGGCGUGGGGAGCAAAACGG
rnacentral:rRNA from 1 species